UGUGUUGAGUCGUUGACUUUGCAGCAGUCCCCAAUCCAGAGCAUGCAUGUAGCGGCAGUGCAGCAGAACUUCACUCUACCAGGAACCCGGCCGACGGGUAAAAGGUGACUACAAAAACCCCAGCUACUGAUAGAGAAAAGUCCUCAAGUGACCCACCCACUCCCCGACUGCUCCCGAUGGAAAAGGCCUUCAUUGCCCCCACCGCUGAUGGAUGACCUCAGUGACCCUGCCAUCGGGCUCAGAUGUCUUCCUCAAGAAACGCUGCAGGUAUUUUGCAGCAGAGAGGAAUUCUCCUGGAUCAUCUAGUUUUUCGUCCCGGAUUUCGUCCUUCAUCGGAUCCCCUUCAUCGGACAGAAAAGGCCCUCAUCUCCUCCUCCCACCCCUUGCUGAUGGAUGACCUCAGUGACCCUACGAUCGGGUUCAGCAGUUUUCCUCAAGAAACGCUGCAGAUUUUGCCCUUCAUCGCUCCCCAUCGCCAGACAGAAGAAAUAGCCGAACUUGAAACGCUUAUCAAAACAUCAGUCUAUCUUUUUUUUUUUUUUCUUUGUACCAAAAACUGGAUAAGUCUUCAAUCUGGUACUUUAUAAUUAAUUAUGUUUUAUUUAUUUUAGAUAAAAUGUCUUCCAAUUUUAGUGUUAAAUGUUAGAAUUUAUUGUAUAUUGAUUUUUGAGAAUGUGUUUUUGCAUCAUUUUAGUGUUGCCAUGGUCUAUACUGGUUUAUUGUGAUUUAUGCUGCCGUUUGUCAUUUUCUGUUUUUUUUCUGCAUUAUUUAUUUCAGCGGCUUUUGUUUUCUCAGUUAUUUUUCUUUCCACAGUUUUGUACCAAAAUCUGCAUUAAUAAAGUCAUCAAUCU